ensembl:lncRNA
UUUGCACUCUGUCUGCCUUGUGCUGCUUUACUUAUCUUUCUUUUUUGCAUGACCUAUUUGUAUAUUUGUAUAGUUGUACUUUAUAUCUUAUUAUAUGUAUUUAAUGUUCUACUGUUAGUGUUAUCUGUAUGCACCGAGGGUCUGAGAGUAACGCAAGUUCAAUUCUCUGUAUGUAUGUACUGUACAUGUGAAAGAAUUGACAAUAAAGCAGACUUGACUUGACUUGACUUGAAUGUAGUAUGCGACAGUGUUGUAAUUGCAUUACAAUGAGUCACUGAAGGCUGGAUGCUUAUUGUGUCUAAUAAAAUACAAUUAAACUGCUAAAUUCAUAGGUACACAUCACAAAUUCAGGAAUUCUAAAUCUGUUCUUUUUUAGCAGAAGAAACAACAUUAAAAACAACAACCCUAUGGACUUUGGAUUUUUCACAGAUGAAAAUUUGUUUGAUUUUUUCUGCCAAAACAAGACAAAGAUGUCUACAAUAGAAGAGCCGUUAAUGUUUCUCCGACAUCUCAAGGACAACAGACUCAUCACAGAUGAGCUUUAUCAAAACCUUGAGAACACUGGUGGCGAUGAUGGUGUGUAUUGUGCAUUGGAUUACAUUGAAAAACGUGGAAAGAAGAAUGUUAGAAAGUUCUGGAAAUGUGUGUCCCAGGAGCAUAUAUUAGAGCGUUACCCUCAACUCUCUGAAAUCACUGCAGCUUUGAUGAACUCUCUUAAGAGUCAGCCAAAUAAAGAAAAACGAGAAAGAGAUGAGGAUCAAGGCAAAGGAAAAGAGAGAGAGGUUAAAAAGAGAAGGACAGAGAGCAACUCUGUGAGUGACCAAGCUGGACCAUCAUCACAAAGCAUUAGCAGCCAGAGGACGACAGAUAAACACGUGAAGAGAGAUCUUCAGAGCUCUCCAGACUCCAGCACAGAAUUACCGUUUUCUCGUCCGUCCUUGCAUAGUAAAGCAGAGGAUCUCUGGAACAUGGAUAAACACAAGAGAUGGCUUCCUGUCACAUGUGGGAAUAAAGAGGCCUUAUUGGACAGGAAAGCUUUUAAUGACAGUAAGUUACCCUCAGUGUUUAAAUAUCUCAAAGCAGCAUAACCUUCUGUCUCAAGGCACUGUAACAUUAUAACAAUAAAGAGUCCUUUUAUGCUCUUUUGUUUUAAUCU